CAAGGAAUCUUCCGCAAUGGGCGCAAGCCUGACGGAGCAACGCCGCGUGGGGGAGGACGCCCUUCGGGGUGUAAACCCCUUUUCUCGGGGACGAAGUUCUGACGGUACCCGAGGAAGAAGGACCGGCUAACUACGUGCCAGCAGCCGCGGUAAUACGUAGGGUCCGAGCGUUGUCCGGAGUUACUGGGCGUAAAGCGCGCGCAGGCGGCCCGCCAAGACCGGCGUGAAAGCCCCCGGCUCAACCGGGGAGGGUCGUCGGUGACUGGCGGGCUCGAGGACGGCAGGGGUCGGUGGAAUGCCCGGUGUAGUGGUGAAAUGCGUAGAGAUCGGGCGGAACACCCGUGGCGAAGGCGGCCGACUGGGCCGGUCCUGACGCUGAGGCGCGAAGGCGUGGGGGAGCGAACGGGAUUAGAUACCCCGGUAGUCCACGCAGUAAACGAUGCAGACUGGGCGUGGGGGGACUUGACCCCCUCCGUGCCGGAGCCAACGCGUGAAGUCUGCCGCCUGGGGAGUACGGCCGCGAAGGCUAAAACUCAAAU
rnacentral:rRNA from 1 species